rnacentral:misc_RNA from 1 species
AGUCGAAGUUGGCCCCCGAAGCUCUUCCGUCUCCCCCCCGGGCCUCCCGGGGAGGUUGCGGGCGGCGAGGGGUGCCUCCGGCCGCACGCCCAUUCUUGUCUACUGACCCGGUUGCCUCGGCGGGCCGCGCCUGCUGUGCUACAGCGGCCGUUCGGGGGGGACGCCUGAGGGGGACUCUUGUUUCCUAGGCCACGCCCCGGGCAGCGCUCGCCGGAGGAUUACUCUGGAAAACACACUCUUGAAAGAACAUACCGUCUGAGCGAGCAACGCAAAUCAGUUAAAACUUUCAACAACGGAUCUCUUGGUUCCGGCAUCGAUGAANAACGCAGCGAAAUGCGAUAAGUAAUGUGAAAUUGCAGAAUUCCGUGAAUCAUCGAAUCUUUGAACGCACAUUGGCGCCCCCUGGCAUUCCGGGGGGGCAUGCCUGUUUCAGCCGUCAUUUUCAACCCCCCUCAAGCCCCGGGCUUUGGGGUAAUGGGACAACCGUUCCCCCCCCUCCCCCAUAAACCACCCC